GCUCGCUUAGCUCAGUUGGUUAGAGCGUCGUACUAAUAUAUCUAAUCAACAUAUCAAGUAAUGCGAAGGUCGCCAGUUCGACCCUGGUAGUGAGCA
rnacentral:tRNA from 1 species